GACGAACGCUGGCGGCGUGCUUAACACAUGCAAGUCGAGGGGGCGUUGGGGCGAACCCUGGCGUCACCGGCGAACGGGUGAGUAACACGUGGGUGACCUGCCCUCCCACUCUGGGAGUAAGCCUGGGAAACUGGGCCUAAUAUCGGAUAUGACUACAUGUUGCAUGGUGUGUGGUGGAAAGCCAGUUACAUUUGUUUCUGGCGGUGGGGGAUGGG
rnacentral:rRNA from 1 species